CCUACGGGAGGCAGCAGUGGGGAAUAUUGGACAAUGGGGGCAACCCUGAUCCAGCCAUGCCGCGUGUGUGAAGAAGGCCCUCGGGUUGUAAAGCACUUUCAGUGAGGAAGAACGCCUGGUGGUUAAUACCCAUCAGGAAAGACAUCACUCACAGAAGAAGCACCGGCUAACUCCGUGCCAGCAGCCGCGGUAAUACGGAGGGUGCGAGCGUUAAUCGGAAUUACUGGGCGUAAAGCGCGCGUAGGUGGCUUGAUAAGCCGGUUGUGAAAGCCCCGGGCUCAACCUGGGAACGGCAUCCGGAACUGUCAAGCUAGAGUGCAGGAGAGGAAGGUAGAAUUCCCGGUGUAGCGGUGAAAUGCGUAGAGAUCGGGAGGAAUACCAGUGGCGAAGGCGGCCUUCUGGACUGACACUGACACUGAGGUGCGAAAGCGUGGGUAGCAUACAGGAUUAGAUACCCUAGUAGUC
rnacentral:rRNA from 1 species